AUGAAGAAGAAGGGUGUUAGUAUUUUUGCAUUGUGGGAAAGAGCUUCCAAGGCAAAUAAAAGAACUUCGACAUCUACACCAAAUCCUCCUGAUGUUGAAGUUGACAACAGCAGUAUCAUUCCUCCUACUAUUGAGAGCAAUCUGCAACUGGCACAUGAACCUGAUGAUGGCCAUCCAGAACCUGAGAGUGCAGCUGGCUCCCCAACCCCAAUUGUAGAAGAUGAUGAAGCAAAUGAUGAAGUUCAGUUUGAAGUAGAUUUGGAAGCAUUUGAGUCUGAUCCUGGGAAAUGGAUCCCCAUCUCUAGGUACAAUGUCAAUGACCAGGAUAAAGUUAGAAGGAGAUACAUCGAGUUGGGGGUAUGUCAAUCAAAGAAUCAUAAUUUUGAGUAUAGAGAUAUAAGUGGAUUACAGCGUCGCUUUUCUCCUUCUUGGUUUAAGGAUUACAAGUGGCUUGAGUAUAGUGUGGACAAAGAAGCCGCUUUCUGCUUCGUUUGCUAUUUGUUCAAGGAUAAAACAAGAUGUCCCGGUGAAGAUGCUUUUGUGAAGAAGGGAUUUAAUAUAUUGUAA
rnacentral:rRNA from 1 species